GGCUCCCAGGAAGAAACACUGCAAGAUGAUUGCUGUGCACACUAUUAUCACAUAAUACUUUGUUUCCCCAAGCCCGAACCCUCUUGCUUCUCCUGGAAUAGCCUGCACAAUAUGAACACAUCUGUAAGAUUAUUGUGAAAGAAAAAAAACCAACCUCGAAGUCUUUGUUAACCAGCAUCCCCACAGUGCAAACCACUGUAGCAAACAGAGACAUCACCAGCUGAAUCUCCAUUACUAGGGUGUAGCUUAUUUCCUGCUUAGACUUCUUGUAUAUCAACUCCACCAAUGGUAAGAUAAGCCCAUAUAUAGCUGCCGCCGCCAGCGUCGUAACAAAUCCUAAAAUAUACUCUCCCUUCGACUCAUGUUCCGGCCGAUCACUGUUGGAAUGCAAGGCCAACACACCAGCCCCAACAUGAACGCCAACUGGGUAGCAAUGAUCAAAGAUGAUGUUGAAACAGGGAGACGAGCUAUUCCAUAGGCGUAAAGAUAGUCAUCAAAGCCAGUGAUUACACCGACGAUCGUGGCUGCUAUGAACAGAGAAGUAUCCAUGUAGAAAAAUUUAGUGGUGGGCUUGUGGGAACGGCGAUGGAGAUAGCUUAUGAGGAGGAGAAUGAAAAUAAUUGGCCAACCUCCGGUUUGGAGCCAGCUAGAGAGCCAAACACGCUUGCCUCCAUGGAUGAAGUAGAGACGCAAUAUGAGAGGGCCACCGCAGUUGCCUACAGUUAAGAGGAUGCAGUUCAGAAUUAGUAGAGCUCUUCUCUUUGUGUUGUUUACUUGAGGCUUGUCGUUAGUCUCCAUGAGAAGGGAAAGCUCCAAAUCUUAGCUCCCUUUGUUUCUAUACUUGUGAAAGAAACAGAGAUGCAUAUGAUUUUCAGUUGAAACCCUUUCCUUUCAAAGUUCUCCGAAUAAUAUCCAUGGAUUUUGGCUACAUUUACUUGUAUUUUAUAUUAAUUCUUAAUUAAUUUUAGAUAAUAAUUAUUC